CGUGGUGUGACUGCGUACCUUUUGUAUAAUGGGUCAGCGACUUAAUUUUAGUAGCAAGGUUAACCGUUUAGGGGAGCCGUAGGGAAACCGAGUCUUAACUGGGCGUACAGUUGCUAGGAUUAGACCCGAAACCAGGUGAUCUAGCCAUGGGCAGGUUGAAGGUUGAGUAACAUCAACUGGAGGACCGAACCGACUAAUGUUGAAAAAUUAGCGGAUGACUUGUGGCUAGGGGUGAAAGGCCAAUCAAACCUGGAGAUAGCUGGUUCUCCCCGAAAGCUAUUUAGGUAGCGCCUCGGACGAAUACUACUGGGGGUAGAGCACUGUUAAGGCUAGGGGGUCAUCCCGACUUACCAACCCUUUGCAAACUCCGAAUACCAGUAAGUACUAUCCGGGAGACACACGGCGGGUGCUAACGUCCGUCGUGGAGAGGGAAACAACCCAGACCGCCAGCUAAGGUCCCAAAGUAUAGCUAAGUGGGAAACGAUGUGGGAAGGCUCAGACAGCCAGGAUGUUGGCUUAGAAGCAGCCAUCAUUUAAAGAAAGCGUAAUAGCUCACUGGUCGAGUCGGCCUGCGCGGAAGAUGUAACGGGGCUAAGCUAUACACCGAAGCUGCGGCUACGUACCUUAGGGUAUGUGGGGUAGGGGAGCGUUCUGUAAGCCGUUGAAGGUGGUCUGUAAGGGCUGCUGGAGGUAUCAGAAGUGCGAAUGCUGACAUGAGUAACGAUAAAGGGAGUGAAAAACUCCCUCGCCGGAAGACCAAGGGUUCCUGUCCAACGUUAAUCGGGGCAGGGUAAGUCGACUCCUAAGGCGAGGCCGAAAGGCGUAGUCGAUGGGAAACGGGUUAAUAUUCCCGUACUUCUUACAAUUGCGAUGGGGGGACGGAGAAGGCUAGGUGGGCCUGGCGACGGUUGUCCAGGUUCAAGUACGUAGGCGGGUGGUUUAGGUAAAUCCGGACCGCUACUAACGCUGAGAUACGAUGUCGAGCUACUACGGUAGUGAAGUCAUUGAUGCCAUGCUUCCAGGAAAAGCCUCUAAGCUUCAGAUUGUAAGGAAUCGUACCCCAAACCGACACAGGUGGUCGGGUAGAGAAUACCAAGGCGCUUGAGAGAACUCGGGUGAAGGAACUAGGCAAAAUGGUACCGUAACUUCGGGAGAAGGUACGCUCUUAUCAGUGAAGUCCCUUGCGGAUGGAGCAGACGAGAGUCGCAGAUACCAGGUGGCUGCAACUGUUUAUUAAAAACACAGCACUGUGCAAAAUCGUAAGAUGACGUAUACGGUGUGACGCCUGCCCGGUGCCGGAAGGUUAAUUGAUGGGGUUAGACUUCGGUCGAAGCUCUUGAUCGAAGCCCCGGUAAACGGCGGCCGUAACUAUAACGGUCCUAAGGUAGCGAAAUUCCUUGUCGGGUAAGUUCCGACCUGCACGAAUGGCGUAAUGAUGGCCACGCUGUCUCCACCCGAGACUCAGUGAAAUUGAAAUCGCUGUGAAGAUGCAGUGUACCCGCGGCUAGACGGAAAGACCCCGUGAACCUUUACUACAGCUUGGCACUGAACAUUGAACCUACAUGUGUAGGAUAGGUGGGAGACUUUGAAACCGCGUCGCUAGAUGUGGUGGAGUCGUCCUUGAAAUACCACCCUUGUAGUUUUGAUGUUCUAACGUUGGUCCCUGAAUCGGGAUUACGGACAGUGCCUGGUGGGUAGUUUGACUGGGGCGGUCUCCUCCCAAAGAGUAACGGAGGAGCACGAAGGUGGGCUAAACACGGUUGGACAUCGUGUGGUUAGUGCAAUGGCAUAAGCCCGCUUGACUGCGAGAAUGACAAUUCGAGCAGGUGCGAAAGCAGGUCAUAGUGAUCCGGUGGUUCUGAAUGGAAGGGCCAUCGCUCAACGGAUAAAAGGUACUCCGGGGAUAACAGGCUGAUACCGCCCAAGAGUUCAUAUCGACGGCGGUGUUUGGCACCUCGAUGUCGGCUCAUCACAUCCUGGGGCUGAAGUCGGUCCCAAGGGUAUGGCUGUUCGCCAUUUAAAGUGGUACGCGAGCUGGGUUUAGAACGUCGUGAGACAGUUCGGUCCCUAUCUGCCGUGGGCGUUGGAAAAUUGAAAGGGGCUGCUCCUAGUACGAGAGGACCGGAGUGGACGAACCUCUGGUGUUCGGGUUGUCAUGCCAAUGGCAUUGCCCGGUAGCUAAGUUCGGAAUCGAUAACCGCUGAAAGCAUCUAAGCGGGAAGCGAGCCUUGAGAUGAGUUUUCCCUGGC
rnacentral:rRNA from 1 species